rnacentral:rRNA from 1 species
GACGAACGCUGGCGGCGUGCCUAAUACAUGCAAGUAGAACGCUGAAGAGAGGAGCUUGCUCUUCUUGGAUGAGUUGCGAACGGGUGAGUAACGCGUAGGUAACCUGCCUGGUAGCGGGGGAUAACUAUUGGAAACGAUAGCUAAUACCGCAUAAAAUGGAUUAUCGCAUGAUAAUCCAUUGAAAGGUGCAAAUGCAUCACUACCAGAUGGACCUGCGUUGUAUUAGCUAGUUGGUGGGGUAACGGCUCACCAAGGCGACGAUACAUAGCCGACCUGAGAGGGUGAUCGGCCACACUGGGACUGAGACACGGCCCAGACUCCUACGGGAGGCAGCAGUAGGGAAUCUUCGGCAAUGGACGGAAGUCUGACCGAGCAACGCCGCGUGAGUGAAGAAGGUUUUCGGAUCGUAAAGCUCGGUUGUAAGAGAAGAACGAGUGUGAGAGUGGAAAGUUCACACUGUGACGGUAUCUUACCAGAAAGAGACGGCUAACUACGUG